rnacentral:misc_RNA from 1 species
AAGUCGUAACAAGGUUUCUGUAGGUGAACCUGCAGAAGGAUCAUUAGUGAAUCAAUCGGAAGCCCUCUGCAAAGAGAAGGUCCGAUCCACUAUCACACACACUUGUGCACUUGUCAUUUUACAAUUCACUUUGUAUUACACACUUUUGUAUGAAACACGUUUAUUAUAAACCUUUGAUAAAGAAAGAAAA